AAGUCGUAACAAGGUCUCCGUAGGUGAACCUGCGGAGGGAUCAUUCACAUGAUUACUUUUUAGAAACAAACUGUGAACUUUAUUAUUUACUAUUCGUGUGUUUUCAACAUUGUUGUUCAUCACACUGUCAUUCGAUCGAACAUAAAGAUAGUUGGCUUGUAUUGUUUUACAAUACUUUCUCAGCUUUGAUUUUUCAUGUAACUAAACAUUACUUGAUAAUCAACCAAUCAAUAGAAUUAACAACUCUAUGCCCUGGAUAUCUUGGUUCUC
rnacentral:misc_RNA from 1 species